rnacentral:rRNA from 1 species
CCUACGGGAGGCAGCAGUGGGGAAUAUUGGACAAUGGGCGAAAGCCUGAUCCAGCAAUGCCGCGUGAGUGAUGAAGGCCUUAGGGUUGUAAAGCUCUUUUACCCGGGAUGAUAAUGACAGUACCGGGAGAAUAAGCUCCGGCUAACUCCGUGCCAGCAGCCGCGGUAAUACGGAGGGAGCUAGCGUUGUUCGGAAUUACUGGGCGUAAAGCGUACGUAGGCGGUUAUUCAAGUCAGAGGUGAAAGCCUGGAGCUCAACUCCAGAACUGCCUUUGAAACUAGGUAGCUAGAAUCUUGGAGAGGUUAGUGGAAUUCCGAGUGUAGAGGUGAAAUUCGUAGAUAUUCGGAAGAACACCAGUGGCGAAGGCGACUAACUGGACAAGUAUUGACGCUGAGGUACGAAAGCGUGGGGAGCAAACAGGAUUAGAUACCCUGGUAGUCCACGCCGUAAACGAUGAUAACUAGCUGUUCGGGCUCUACGAGCUUGAGUGGCGCAGCUAACGCAUUAAGUUAUCCGCCUGGGGAGUACGGUCGCAAGNUUAAAACUCAAAGGAAUUGACGG